AGACGCACGUGCGUUUAUAAGCAAUUAGAAAGCGAAUAGUUUCACUCUUUGUCUUACUUUUUUUCUCAUUUCCCCGUGCUUAACGUACCCUACUAAAUCCGUCAUUCAGUCUUUUUCUGUUUUCAGGCUUAACCCCAAAAAUUCAAUACGUUAUUGCAAUGCAUUGGCCAGUAGUUUCAACAGUGACAUACCGUUGGCCGCCAGUGACCACUCCCACCUUUUAGGUACCGCUGUUUUUAUCAGCUGAUUGGAUUUAGGAACGCCCACUACCGCUUUCAGGCCCGAUAGCACCGCCUCUCCUCCCACACUUCGCGCGAUCUUAUUGGAUGCACCGGGGUUGAAUUUACAUAUGCCAUCGGAUUGGUGAAAACGCACGUCCGUCAUGAGACAUCUGUACUCGCAGCAGUUCACAUAGAGCGUGCUGGUGUGUGUCAUCGUGGUGCAGAGAGGCAGCGAUACGCGGUGAGUAAUGCCGUCCUUGUUGCUCGAUGUCAGGAUGGUUCUAGAGAGGAUGAAGGCGGACGCGGACUUCCUCUGACCGUGGCAGCUUACAUUCAUUGACUAAAGUCUGCCCACUGUCAACAUGGCAGAGCAAUGGACCGCAGUGCCCACUUCUAAUAUGGCGGCGCUAAACCGGGCUGGAUCAUUGACUGUUAUAUUCCUAAUUGUCAGCAGUUGUCUGAUCAAAAGCAUUGAUGGUAAAGACCCGUCAGAAGAGACUGUCAUCAUUGGCCUCCGCCUCGAAGACACCGACGAGGUGUCUUUUAUGGACAGAGGCUUUUUGCGCGUCAGCGAGCGAUCUCGUGUCAGAUUAAGGGUCUAUGGGCAAAACAUCAACAACGAGACGUGGUCCAAACUCGCCUUCACGGAACACCGCAGCAACGCACCUGCGGAGAGCCUGAGCCCCGGAGACGCACCUGCCUCGCAUCCCUGCGGCAUCCGAUCCUCCGAUAUCAUCAUCCUUCCCACCAUGGAGGUAAACAGAAAGACUUCUGGGAUUAUCGAGCUCGAGGUGAAGCCUCUGCGCAAAACGGAAAAAAGUAAAACGUAUUACCUGUGCACCGCCAUCGGGACACCUGGCGCGCAGGACUCCUGGUCCGAACACACCUGGGUCUAUCACGAAGGGCAUGACACUAAAGUGAUCGUGGUGGAGGAGAAAAAGUUCCUCCUGCCGUUCUGGCUGCAGGUGAUUUUUAUUGCCAUGUUGUUGUGCUUGUCUGGGAUGUUCAGCGGGCUGAAUCUGGGUCUGAUGGCGCUGGAUCCCAUGGAGCUCCGGAUUGUGCAAAACUGCGGGACCGAGAAGGAGAAGCAUUACGCGAAGGCGAUCGAGCCUGUCCGAAGCCAAGGAAACUACCUGCUGUGCUCGUUGCUGCUGGGAAAUGUCCUGGUCAACACUACUUUGACUAUACUUCUCGAUGACAUCGCAGGGUCAGGGCUGAUCGCUGUGGUGGUGUCCACUAUAGGGAUAGUGAUAUUUGGGGAGAUCGUGCCUCAGGCCAUCUGCUCCAGGCACGGACUCGCUGUAGGCGCGAAUACAAUAUUCUUGACUAAAUUUUUUAUGAUCCUCACUUUCCCAGCAUCCUAUCCGGUCAGCAAACUCCUGGACCACGUGCUGGGGCAGGAGAUUGGAACUGUGUACAACAGGGAGAAGCUGCUGGAGAUGCUGAGGGUGACCGAUCCAUAUAAUGACCUGGUCAAAGAGGAGCUCAACAUCAUCCAGGGCGCUCUGGAGCUCAGGACUAAAACCGUGGAGGAUGUCAUGACACCUCUGCGGGACUGCUUCAUGAUUUCUGGUGAUGCCAUACUGGACUUCGCCACCAUGUCUGAGAUCAUGGAGAGUGGCUACACUCGGAUACCUGUGUAUGAGGGUGAGAGAUGUCACAUUGUGGACCUGCUGUUUGUCAAGGACUUGGCCUUUGUGGAUCCAGAUGACUGCACGCCUCUGAAAACCAUCACCAAGUUCUACAGCCACCCUCUGCACUUUGUCUUCAACGAUACAAAGCUGGAUGCCAUGCUGGAGGAGUUUAAAAAAGGUAAAUCCCAUCUGGCCAUUGUCCAAAGAGUGAAUAAUGAAGGAGAGGGAGACCCGUUCUAUGAAGUGUUGGGUAUCGUCACGUUAGAGGACGUCAUUGAGGAAAUAAUCAAAUCUGAGAUUCUUGAUGAGACAGACUUAUACACUGACAACAAGACGAAAAAGAAGAUCGCUCACCGGGAGAAGAAACAGGACUUCUCUGCUUUCAAACCUACAGAAAAUGAGUUGAGGGUGAAAAUAUCACCGCAGCUUCUUCUGGCCACGCUGCGUUUCCUGGCAACCGAGGUUGAGUCUUUUAGUGCAACUCAAAUGUCAGAGAAAAUCCUCCUGCGCUUGUUGAAACAUCCUAACGUCAUCCAGGAGCUCAAAUACGAUGACAAGGACAAGAAAAUGUCAGAGCACUACCUCUUUCACCGCAACAAGCCUGUGGAUUACUUCAUUCUCAUCCUGCAGGGAAAGGUGGAGGUCGAGGCUGGAAAGGAGGGAAUGAAGUUUGAAGCUGGUGCCUUCUCGUAUUAUGGAGUGCUGUCUUUAACCUCCUCACCAGUUCCUCUCUCCUUGUCUCGAACCUUCGUGGUCAGCAGGGCAGAAUCACUGGCAGGAUCUCCAGAAAAUAAGUCACCUCCAAGGCCGUUCGGGCUUAACCACUCAGAUUCCCUGAACAGGAGCGACCGAAUGGAGGCCGUGACUCCAACACUGGGCAGCAGCAACAACCAGCUCAACUCCUUCCUGCAGGUCUAUGUGCCGGACUAUUCAGUGAGAGCUGUCUCUGACCUGCUCUACAUCAAGGUGACCCGCCAGCAAUACCAGAAUGCCCUGAUGGCAUCUCGCAUGGACAAAACACCUCAAUCCACAGACAGUGAGUUCACCAAGAUCGAACUGACCUUCACCGAGCACCAGGACGGACCAUUGGAAGAAUCGGCCACACUUUUGACCACCAACUCACACAAACCCAACCACACUGCCCACAACGACGGGGUAGUUUAAGCACCCUCUGCGAAAGAGAGAGAGAGAUGCCUCUUUCCACAGAGUGAGUGAGAGGCACUGGGCAGCUUCAUACGAGUCCUCUCAUCACGCUCCAAUUCAAAGGGGAACGUACAGCGUGAAGGGCCACACAUCCCACAAUGCAUGCACUAAUGACCUUAACACCUUUUGUAGGCAGCGGAUCAGUCAGGGACCACCAAAUCAUUCUCGCUCACUCGAUCGAGGAAGGACACACUUGAAAUACACACUACGAAGGAGCAAGGAGACGACCCACGCCACACCUUGAGCAGACACGACCAUAACAGAAGGACAAAGAAAUAAUGGUGCCUUUAGACAGCGCUUGAUUACUUUUAACAACGAGGGCCACACAGAGCUCUCUAAAAUCUUCCAUUCCACCCAGGACGCCUGAGCAGAUGCAGCCACAGAUGAAAGAUCAGAACCUCCUAUGGCGCUUCAGUCAGUAACGUAAACGCCGCUGGAUAUCAGGACAUUCACGUCUCAAGUGUUUAUGUAGCAACCUCUCAGUGCAAUAGUGCAACAGCUAUGCAGGGACAAUCAUGACCAAUUAAUGUGCUCACAGGUAGAACGAAAUAUCCGAACAAGUAAACUAGCCAAACUUAAUAAGAGGCUGAGAGGUAGAGUAUGUUUGUUAGACUAAUUUAACUACAAUUUAAAAUGCCUUGCUUGAGAUGUGAAGUGUAGGGAUUGUUUUUUAAACAUUAACAAAAGUUUCGGUCAGCAGCAUUCCUGUUCUUGUCGUUGAUUGCGUGUUUCAGUUUUUCACACUGUGUUAAAGUCAUUUCACUUCAGCAUUCGGUGAUGUCCUACAGAUCAGAUCAGCGUUUUCAUGUUGGAUCGCCUGCCUUAGAAAAGGGGAGACGUCUUUAAAAAUGUGGUGCUCUAACAUGCGGUUUGAGUCUGUCAUACACUGCUGCUAUUUUCAAUCUUGAAUGUGUAGAGAUACUGUACAGUCAUAAAUCAGAGAGUACUAUUGUAUGCUUACAUACAACAAACCAGACAAUGCUAUAUCAGAUUAAAUAUACAUUAUUAUAUAUCUAUGAUGCAGAUGGAAAUUGCUAUAUUAAAACUGUUUGACAACUUUGA